GACGCAUUUUUGAAACUCUUUACCCGUUUGUUACUCGUCGAAUGUUUGUGUACGGGACUGUUGAUAGUUAUAGUGACAGAAAACGAUCUGGCCGUAUAUGAGAAAAAGUUUUCCUUCUAAAAACAUCUACAGAAAAACUAAUAUUAGACAAAUCAAAAGUAUUUUACAACAACAAUAAUGUAUAACUAAAUUCAUUGAAAUCAAUUGUUCAUCUCAUGAAUAACAGUUCAACAUGAAUAACACGUAGGUGGAAUGAAAACAAAGCAAAAAUUUGUAUGAGGAAUGAAAUAUGUUGACACACAGCUGUUAGAAGAAACUUGACAAUAAGGAUACAGAGUACAAGGGCACUACUUAUUUCAUGUUGAAAUCUCUUCCAGUAGGCCCGCAAAAGGAAAGAAGAAUUAGGAACACAAACCUAGUGCAUACAGUAAACAUUACAUAUAAUAAUAUAUACAUAUAAAUACACACACACAUACACACAUAUAACUAGUCAGGUCAUAA